AAUGCAGCAGCCAUCUUGAGGCUGGGCGGGUGCGGGAU
rnacentral:SRP_RNA from 15 species